GUCCACAUAUUCAGCAAUGAGUAUGUGCCGAAUAGUAAUAUUCGGAAAUCUACUUAAUUGCCGGAAACCCCUAAAGCUCAAAGUACUUAAUGUAUAUUAAGUUACGAAAGUAGAAACAAAUCUUUGAGAUGGUGCAAGGUUAAAUCCUAAACACUAUGCAACAAUGGGCAAUCGGCAGCGAAGCCGAUGUUACAAAUAACAUCGGAACGUUCAACGACUAUCCUGAGAAGGAGUACUGUACAAGCGUAUAGGAAAUGGUAGAGAUCCUUAAUGAUACAAGGAUUAAGAUAUAGUCUGUGCUUUAUCGAAAGAUAGAG
rfam:Megasphaera sp. TPII 135-E contig00003, whole genome shotgun sequence.